AUGGCUGUAUGCUUUCUUGCCGGACAGGACCAAAUUCUAUAUGUGUGUAUUGCAGCUGUUUGCUGGGGAAUAUGGAAUGUGUGCAAUAAGGUCACCUUUGAGAAGCAUAAGAUGCAAUCCCCUAUGGAAGUUGUGUUCAUAAUCUGUACAUUUCUCUUAUACUGGGAACUGGGCAGGUUUACUCAAAAGCGGGGAGCAAGGCGUCUUCAGGGCCGAAGUCGAGACAUUGAUGAACGAGGCUACCACUCCUGCGUCUCUCAUGAGCUCGGCUUCUGCAGGGGGCGAGAACAUCUUGUAUUCCUGGAGGCCGAGUGCUUGGAGUAA
rnacentral:rRNA from 1 species